GGUUCAGAACGAACGCUGGCGGCAUGGAUUAGGCAUGCAAGUCGAACGAAGCAGCAAUGCUUAGUGGCGCAAGGGUGAGGAACACGUGAGUGACCUACCCGCAAGUUUGGAACAGCUCCUGGAAACGGGAAUUAAUACCGGAUGUGAUCAUGAAGCUGCAUGGUUUCAUGAUUAAAGCAGCAAUGCGCUUGCGGAUGGGCUCGCGUCCCAUUAGCUAGUUGGUGAGGUAACGGCCCACCAAGGCCAUGAUGGGUAGCUGGUCUGAGAGGACGACCAGCCACACUGGGACUGAGAACUGCCCAGACUCCUACGGGAGGCUGCAGUCGAGAAUUUUGGGCAAUGGACGAAAGUCUGACCCAGCAAUGCCGCGUGCGGGAUGAAGGUCUUCGGAUUGUAAACCGCUGUUUGGAGGGACGAAAAUUGACGGUACUUCCAGAGGAAGCCACGGCUAACUACGUGCCAGCCGCCGC
rnacentral:rRNA from 1 species